UGUAUUUAUUUUGUGUAUUGUGUAUUUUUUUUCAUCGUCUAAACGUUCUGUGUAUAUAGACACUAUGCACUUGGAAACGAUAGUUAGUUCAGUUCUGAAAAUCAUAUGGCAUUCAUCGUGCUCAUAAUUUAAGUCAAUUUAUAUAUGUAUAUUUCAGUUUGGUUUUUUUUCGUUUAAGUUUUAUUUUUAUUUUUUCAAAUCGACAAGUUUUUGAAGAAAAAAAAAACGCAUUCUCUCUCUCUCUCUCGCAUAUCGUCUCAAUAUCACAUGAUCGUGUAUCGAAUUUACUGCAUAUUUUUCACAUUCCAUGGCGACGUUAUAUGU